AUUACAUGAUACGAAUGUCGAACCAAACGAACAACUUUUAUGUAAUGAAAUUGUAUUAUACGAUGUGCUUAAUAAGAUUUUUCAUUACUUAAAUAUAUAUGAUUUAAAUCAUGCAGCAGAGGUAUGCAAGUCUUGGUAUCAUUCUGCAAAAAUAGAGAAAUUAAAACGAGGACCACAAAUAAUGAUUUUACAAGCAUUGGAUGAUUUAGUCGCUACGGGCUUUUCCAAUUCCCGUUUGAUAGAUAAACAUGAACUUAUCGAUGAUUUAAAAGUCUCUCUAAGAAUAAAACCAAGUGCAGGACUUUUUUUUACUGAUGGCAAAUAUCCAGCUUCUGCAGAUUGCGAUAGUGUUUCGUAUGAAAUUUGUACAGGAUAUAACUGGACCCAACCAGACAAUUGCAUUUACGU